UACGUAGGGUGCAAGCGUUAAUCGGAAUUACUGGGCGUAAAGCGUGCGCAGGCGGCUUUGCAAGACAGAUGUGAAAUCCCCGGGCUCAACCUGGGAACUGCAUUUGUGACUGCAUGGCUAGAGUACGGCAGAGGGGGAUGGAAUUCCGCGUGUAGCAGUGAAAUGCGUAGAUAUGCGGAGGAACACCGAUGGCGAAGGCAAUCCCCUGGGCCUGUACUGACGCUCAUGCACGAAAGCGUGGGGAGCAAACAGG
rnacentral:rRNA from 1 species